UGAAUAAUUAGAUAUGGAGGGAGAAGAAAAAGGAAACAUACUGAUGAACUUGUUUUUCUGUCCUGGCAAACUGGAUUAUGGGAGCACCUUUGAACAGGAUGGAGGGGAGCCAUGUUUGGAGAAGAGCAAAUCAGAGAUUUGAAGCAUGAGAAGGAUUUGAUGCACUGUUGCUGGCUUGAAGAUAGAAGGAGCCACAUAUUAAGGAAUAUGA
rnacentral:lncRNA from 1 species